AAAGUCGUAACAAGGUUUCCGUAGGUGAACCUGCGGAAGGAUCAUUAAAAGAUAUGGCAUUUUUCACAUUCUGUGGAUAAUUACCAAUCAACCCCAUUCCGAGUACCUUACCUGAUUGCUUCCACACAGUGUCUGUAACAGGACAUCCUGAUGAAUGAGUAACCUCAUCGGAGGGAGAUGUGUGGAGGGUAUACUUAUAAACUCUUGCAUUACCAUGUAUUCUGUCUGAUCAAGUUUAAUACAAAAACUAUUAAAACUUUCAACAACGGAUCUCUUGGUUCUC
rnacentral:misc_RNA from 1 species